rnacentral:rRNA from 1 species
GAUCAUGGCUCAGGAUGAACGCUAGCGACAGGCCUAACACAUGCAAGUCGAGGGGCAGCGGGGGAGCAAUCCUGCCGGCGACCGGCGCACGGGUGAGUAACGCGUAUGUAACCUGCCCAUAAGUGGGGGAUAGCCCAGCGAAAGCUGGAUUAAUACCGCAUAAUACCGUUUGAGGACAUCUGAUAAUGGUUAAAGAUUUAUUGCUUAUGGAUGGACAUGCGUCUGAUUAGCUAGUUGGCGGGGCAACGGCCCACCAAGGCGACGAUCAGUAGGGGUUCUGAGAGGAAGGUCCCCCACAUUGGUACUGAGACACGGACCAAACUCCUACGGGAGGCAGCAGUGAGGAAUAUUGGUCAAUGGGCGGAAGCCUGAACCAGCCAAGUCGCGUGAAGGAAUGAAGGUAUUAUGUAUUGUAAACUGCUUUUAUGCGGGGAUAAAGUCGCCCACGUGUGGGUGUUUGCAGGUACCGCAUGAAUAAGGACCGGCUAAUUCCGUGCCAGCCGCUGC